UACGGGGGGGCAAGGCGUUGUUCGGAAUUACUGGGCGUAAAGGGCUCGUAGGUGGCCAACUAAGUCAGACGUGAAAUCCCUCGGCUUAACCGGGGAACUGCGUCUGAUACUGGAUGGCUUGAGUUUGGGAGAGGGAUGCGGAAUUCCAGGUGUAGCGGUGAAAUGCGUAGAUAUCUGGAGGAACACCGGUGGCGAAGGCGGCAUCCUGGACCAACACUGACACUGAGGAGCGAAAGCCAGGGGAGCAAACGGG
rnacentral:rRNA from 1 species